rnacentral:ncRNA from 1 species
GUUCCAUGUGAACAGCAGCUGAACAUGGGUCAGUCAGUCCUGAUAGAUGGGCGAGUGCCAUUCUGAACGGAUAGGCAAUGGCAUCUUUUGCCCUCAGCUGGUCCAAAAGGCAUCAGGUUCAGAUCCCUGAAUCCAGAGUGGCAGAGACAGGCUCCACGAGGCAUCCAGUGCAGUAAUGCAAACAAGCCCGGAGAAGCUGACAGGUGCCCUGGGGAGAAUUCUCUUUCCUCUGUAAAGGGCAGGGCACCCUGGAGUUGGUGUUAGAAAAAGGUAGUUCUAAAUACCAGUUAUGACCCUGUAACCACUUGCAGAAAUGAGGACUGUAAAUGUUAUGAGUAUUUCUUCCUUGUACGUG